AUCACAAUUGUUUCUCAUUUGAUAUGUUUAAGUUCUCUAUGAUCAAAUGUUAAAAGAGAAAUAAAAAAAAAAAAAUAUUGAACGUCAAGUAAUGCAUUAAAUGAAAGAGACAAAACAUGAUAUUUUGAUAUACUUUAGAGCCACGUAACAAUAAUUUAUAUUUUAUAAAUAGUUUCUUGCAACUCCUAAACGCUAAAACUGUUUAGUUGAAAUUAGCAAAGUAUGAAUUUUUUUCUUAUAUAGUGAUCAAAUAAUUUUCGGUUUAUUACACAUAUACAAAGGAGAAAAAUAUGGCUCAAAUUCCAUAUUACUUUUAUAUUUUGAUCAUAUUUCUUUCACUAUUUCUUAUUGCAACUAGGAGUAGCAGUUACAUUAUACGUACUAAUUUUCCCUGCAAAAUACCUUUGGAUUGUCCUGAAAAUAUGUGUAAGCAUCCUCACAUACGUGUAAUUCCAUGGUGCGUUCAAGGUUAUUGUGAAUGCGCAUAAGUUUUACAGAUAAGUUCAGAAAUAAUUUUAUAUUGUUUGUACGUAACAGUAUAAUUUUAUUUAUACGUGUAAUAUUUGAUACUCUUAGAAUUUUUCUCACACUUUUCUUUA